UUCCAGAGCGCGUAAAACCUGUCUAUGCGUAAAACAAACAGUAGGCCUUUCUUUCCCUGAAGUCUCUGUAGUAUGUAGUGACACCUAAAUGCACUGUACAUAACCUAGCCUAUUAUUUAAUUUGAUAGCACAUCUGACAUUAUAGUCUGACACCAUUUUAACAUAAAUGAUUGACAUGUUAAUCCAUUUUUAAAUAAUAAAAAAACGUUAAAAAAAACGUAUAAACCCAGAAGCAUCAUAAGGCACCAUAAAGUUAGUAUCAUCCGUUUCGACCAUACUAUCUAAUCAGUCAAUAGACAAAUUCCAAGCAAUCACGUGUAUUCCUUUGAUUCAAGGGCAUCAAAGUCAUUAUCCUUUGAACCAAAUAUGUAUAUAUUAUUUUAUGAUGAACCAGGACAGUUUGAGAUGGACAUCUUCAAAAAAGGUGAAACCAUGACGCGGAAUUAGGCAUUUCCUUUAGUACAACGGAAUGUAAAUAGCAUAAUGAGGGGUUACAUUUUACAGCUACUCUUAUUUUUGAAGUGUCAACGGAGGAGUAUAUAAUCUGGGGUUCAUCAUAAGAGUGCACAUUUCAAGGACGGUUACCUUGAUUGGAGAGGUGAGACAAAAAGUAGCCCUGAGCACCAACCUAUUUUUUAGGGACUUUUAACUCUGAGCAUGGAUGUGACCAAAAUCUCAAACUUCAGUAUCGAUCGCAUUUUAGCCACUGAAGAAGGACCUUCUUAUCCAACUGAAUCUUUAUAACAUUUUGGAUGUUUGUCUGGCAUCUUUCUGCACGGACACUCAAAAGGACACAAUGGAAACGGUAUGCCGAGGGAUCUGACAACCGCCCACAUGCUGCAGGUUCCGACCAUAUCACACACGUUUGAUUAUAGUAGCAGUUACCUUAGCUAUGGAUCAUUUAAUUGUCAUCAUGCAGAUAUAAACCUGUAUCCUAGUGCAACUCAAAACAGAGUUUUCAACGAUGGAAGAGUUUUAUCUCAGGGUCUCAGCCUCUGUGCACUUACUUGCACCAAGAUGGAAACCAAAGAAACCGGGGCAGAAUGCGCACCGUGUUCAUGGACAGCCAGACCAAACAACUGGAACAGCUGUUCGAACAAACGGAUUAAACUGGCGUGGAGGGACGGGCCUAACUAG
rnacentral:lncRNA from 1 species